rnacentral:rRNA from 1 species
AUGGGUAACCUUGACAAACUACAGCUAAUACAUGCUCAACACCUUCAAGGGUUGUAAUUAUUAGUUUUGACCAGUCUUGCACUGUGAGGAGUCAUAAUAAUCGAUCGGAGCGCACUAGUGUGCGCUAAAUCUUUCCAGUUUCUGCCCUAUCAGGAUUGGUGGUAGUGUAUUGGACUACCAUGUCUAUCACGGGUAACGGGAGAAUUAGGGUUCGAUUCCCGAGAGGGAGCCUGAGAAACGGCUACCACAGCUACCGGAGGCAGCAAGGUGCCGUAAAUUACCCAAUCCAAAUUCUGGUAGGGAGUGACAGGAAAUUUGUUGCCCGUGAUUUAUCACCGACACAACCGAACACAUUUAAACAUUUGUGUGUUUAAAUUGGAGGGCAAGUUUGGUGCCAGCAGCCGCGGUAAUUCCACUUCCAGAGUGGAUCUUAAUGUUGCUGCAGUUAAAAAGCUCGUAGUUGAAUUUCUGAAGAUGGGAGAAGCUUCACGCGGAUCCCGUCGUCAUCCGCUCGGAGAGGCAUGGGAACUUUAAUCGGAACUCUAGAUGACCCAGCAUUUUACUUUGAGAAAAUUAGAGUGUUCCAGGCAGGCCUUGCUUGCAUAAAUUAGCAUGGAAUAAUGGAAUAUGACUAGUCUGUUUUAUUGGUUGACAGAAUAGUAAUGAUUAACAGGGACAGUCGGGGGCAUUCGUACUCAGUGGCCAGAGGUGAAAUUCUUAGACUCGCUGAAGACGCACUAAUGCGAAAGCAUUUGCCAAGGAUGUUUUCAUUAAUCAAGAACGAAAGUUAGGGGAUCAAAGACGAUUAGAUACCGUCGUAGUCUUAGCCAUAAACUAUACCGACUCACGAUUGGUGUGCCAUAACCACAUUCAGGACCGUAUGAGAAAUCAAAGUCUUUGGGUUCUGGGGGGAGUAUGGUCGCAAGGCUGAAACUUAAAGGAAUUGACGGAAGGGCACCAAA